rnacentral:lncRNA from 10 species
AGGGUUGGAGACUUCGGGGCCAAGAUGGCGACGGGAACGGGCAAACACAAGCUGCUAAGCACUGGCCCCACAGAGCCAUGGUCCAUCCGAGAGAAGCUAUGUUUAGCAUCUUCUGUCAUGAGAAGUGGCGAUCAAAAUUGGUAAGGUAUCUAGGAUGUCAGCUUUUCUGGGUCUUAGAAAUUGUUAGAUACUCUUUCACAUCGGUAGAUUUCUAUAGUUAAUCAUAUUAAGCUGUAAGUAGACUUUCUUUUCUUUUUCUUCUUUUUUUGAGACUGAGUCUCCUUCUGUUGCCCAGGCUGGAGUGCAGUGGUGCGGACACGCCCAGCUAAUUUUUGUAUUUUUUAGUAGAGACAGAGUUUCGCCAUGUUGGCCAGGCUGGUCUCGAACUCCUGACCUCAGGUGAUCCCCCCACCUCGGCCUGCCAGAGUGCUGGGAUUACAGGUGUGAGCCACUGCGCCUGGCCAUGCCUGGCUAAUUUUGUAUUUUUAGUAGAGACGGGGUUUCACCAUGUUGGCCACGAUGGUCUCAAUCUCCUGACCUCAUGAUC